GUCAAAAUACAUAAGCGCUCCCAUAUAAUCCUGGUAAUAUGGUCCAGGAGUCUCUACCGGAUAACCGUAAAGUUGGGGUAUAUAGAUAUUUUGGCCUAAGU
rnacentral:ncRNA from 2 species